CUCAGCCAUUUUACUCAACGCGGUGGAGUGUGUGCGCGCGGCUUGCGACUGUAACUUCAUAGAGACCCGCGGUGAUCUUUUUCAUUUGAUUUCGAUACAGUUUCCUCACUCGUCCAAAAAAAAAACAAAACAAACAACAAAAGAUGGAGACCGAAGGACAGGUUGAUUUUAGCAUGGAGGAAUUUCCUGAGGGAUCCAAAAUAAACGCCAGCAAAAACCAGCAGGAUGAUGGGAAGAUGUUUAUUGGCGGACUCAGCUGGGAUACAAGCAAGAAGGAUCUUACAGAUUACUUGUCAAGGUUCGGGGAGGUACUGGACUGUACGAUUAAAACAGACCCAAUGACUGGGAGGUCCAGGGGCUUUGGCUUUGUCCUCUUCAAAGAUUCUGGCAGUGUGGAUAGGGUGCUGGAGCUGAAGGAACACAAACUGGAUGGAAAACUGAUUGACCCAAAGAGGGCUAAAGCAAUGAAGGGCAAAGAGCCACCCAAGAAAGUGUUUGUGGGAGGAUUGAGCCCAGAGACAUCGGAAGAUCAAAUCCGAGAAUAUUUUGGAAGAUUUGGAGAUAUUGACAGCAUUGAGCUCCCCAUGGACACCAAAACAAAUGAGAGGAGGGGGUUCUGCUUUGUAACAUACGUAGAUGAAGACCCUGUUCAGAAGCUUCUGGAGAACAGAUAUCAUCAAGUUGGAUCAGGAAAGUGCGAGAUAAAGGUUGCCCAACCCAAAGAAGUGUACAGGCAGCAGCAGAGAGGAGACAGGGGCAGCUUUGGAAGAGGAGGUUCCAGAGGAAGAGGCCGGGGAGGUCAAAGUCAAAACUAUAACCAAGGCUAUAAUAGCUACUAUGGUCAGAAUUAUGGAAGCUACGGCAAUGGGUACAAUCAAGGAUACAAUGACUACAGCGGCUAUGAUUAUUCUGGGUACGGCUAUAAUAACUAUGGAUAUGGACAGGGAUAUGACGACUACAAUGGUCAGCAAAGCAGUUACGGGAAGGCUUCAAGAGGAGGCGGAAAUCACCAGAAUAACUACCAGCCAUACUGAAAAGAAAAACUAAAGGAAAACCUGCUCAAGGAAUUUAGCGGGAACUUCAUUGCAGGCCGUGUGUCACCCUGACCACGUCAUUCUCUGGGCGUCGCACAUAGCGGGCAGAGAGCACGGCAUGCACAAGAAAACGCUGUCCUGUGGUGAGGAGCCCAGAUGAGUUUUCUGCUUGUUACCCUGGUGGCAACUGAGAGAUUCUAGUCCUUUUAAAUCAAGAACAACUGUUUUUAUUUUAAGAUGACCUUGUUUUCUAAUUUAGAGGCAAAGUUGGCACCAGCAGGUGUCUGUUUGUAAAUAGAAGCUUUCAAGUUUUGUUGCUGGAGUUGGCUCAUUCAUUCCUUGCCAUGUUGGUGUUGUAAUGAAAUAUCUUUUUGUUUGUUUUGUAAAGCGGUCUUUACAUUUUUAUGCUUUUUUAUUUUGUGUUUUUUGCAGCCAUGAAGGGAAUUAAAGAGUAUGGAUACAAAAAUGA